ensembl:lncRNA
GAAAGGCUGGAACCAGGAUCCACCCAGACUCCAUUUAAGGGCUGGCAAUGGAGGUGAAUGUAUUUCAUCUGGAGGUCUCUGCCUAUGUGAAGGUCUUUCUGAAGUACAUUCCUGGCCCACAGCCUCCUCUCAGAACAACCAACUUUGGUAUCUUUAGAUGGAUUUGACACGUGCUACAAAAUGCUUUUUGUGAAUGCAGGUUUUUGGGUGUUUUUUUCUUCAAAAAAGAAAUCUGUUCUAUGAAAUGUAAUGCAUGAGUUGUCUGUCCUCCAACUCCACCAGUGCCAAGAUUCCAAGCAAGAGCCAUCAGGAAGUGUUCAACCAAUUCAAGACAGAGUUGUUACAUACGGAAUGAAGGGGGGAAAAAACACCAGUGCCCCCAGAAUCACCAGGGAGAGGGGAGCCUGCAGGUACAGCUCUGGCAUCAGGGGAACCUGGCUGCUGAGCACAGAGGUGAGGAAGUACAGGAGCCUGAAGCACAAAUGGCAACGGUGCAGCAGGACCAUGGUGAAGCAGAGGAGGGCAGUUGUGGUGAGAGCAAACCCAGAGCAUCACUUCAUUGCAGAAGAGAUGCUGUCAUACUGGCUGGGCACAGCCCACCCCAGAGGCCCUGCUCAAACAACACAUUUCACAUCAGAGGUCUCGCCAUGGAAGCAACCUACUUAUAGCACCUUGGCAUCUGAACCUACAAAUGACCAUCGUCAGUUAUUGUCUUACCUCAACAAACGUGGCAAUUCAGAGGCUCCUAGGCACCUGUGCUGAACCCACCAUAGGGCUGGUGCUCAAAUUACACCAAGCUGAG